rnacentral:rRNA from 1 species
AUUGAACGCUGGCGGCAGGCCUAACACAUGCAAGUCGAACGAGUGGCGGACGGGUGAGUAAUGUCUGGGAAACUGCCCGAUGGCGGGGGAUAACUACUGGAAACGGUAGCUAAUACCGCAUACCAUCGGAUGUGCCCAGAUGGGAUUAGCUAGUAGGUGGGGUAACGGCUCACCUAGGCGACGAUCCCUAGCUGGUCUGAGAGGAUGCCCAGCCACACUGGAACGGGGACACGGUCCAGACUCCGACGGGAGGCAGCAGUGGGGAAUAUUGGACAAUGGGCGCAAGCCUGAUGCAGCCAUGCGGGGUGUAUGAAGAAGGCCUUCGGGUUGUAAAGUACUUUCAGCGGGGAGGCGUGACUCGCAGAAGAAGCACCGGCUAACUCCGGGCCAGCCGCCGCGGUAAUAC